GACGAACGCUGGCGGCGUGCUUAACACAUGCAAGUCGAACGGGAUUUAGUAGACUGAAGCCUCGGCUAAAGAUUACUAAUGAGAGUGGCGAACGGGUGAGUAACGCGUGAGCAACCUGCCUAUGACAGUGGGAUAGCCUCGGGAAACCGGGAUUAAUACCGCAUAAAAUCGUAGAAACACAUGUUUUAACGGUCAAAGAUUUAUCGGUCAUAGAUGGGCUCGCGUCUGAUUAGCUAGUUGGUGAGAUAACAGCCCACCAAGGCGACGAUCAGUAGCCGGUCUGAGAGGAUGAACGGCCACAUUGGAACUGAGACACGGUCCAAACUCCUACGGGAGGCAGCAGUGGGGAAUAUUGCACAAUGGGGGAAACCCUGAUGCAGCGACGCCGCGUGAACGAAGAAGGUAUUCGUAUCGUAAAGUUCUGUCCUAUGGGAAGAUAAUGACAGUACCAUAGAAGAAAGCUCCGGCUAAAUACGUG
rnacentral:rRNA from 1 species